GACGAACGCUGGCGGCGUGCCUAAUACAUGCAAGUCGAACGGUCUUUUCUAUGGAAGCUUGCUUCCACUGAGAAGAUAGUGGCGGACGGGUGAGUAACACGUGGGUAACCUGCCCAUAAGAGGGGGAUAACAUCCGGAAACGGGUGCUAAUACCGCAUAGUUUUUCUGAUCGCAUGAUCGGGAAAGGAAAGACGGCCUUUGUGCUGUCGCUUAUGGAUGGACCCGCGGCGUAUUAGUUAGUUGGUGAGGUAAUGGCUCACCAAGACGAUGAUACGUAGCCGACCUGAGAGGGUGAUCGGCCACAUUGGGACUGAGACACGGCCCAAACUCCUACGGGAGGCAG
rnacentral:rRNA from 1 species